GCACCCGCGGUAAUUCCAGCACCAAUAGCGUAUAUUAAUGCUGCUGCUGUUAAAAAGCUCGUAGUUGGAUCAAGAGUUCGACAGUGCACGGUGGCCCUGUUUGCCAUGGUGGUUCCGAUCACCAGGGCGGCAGCGGAUCAACCCCAUGCGCCAAACUGUCGACUCUAACAGACCGAAACGGUUCCCUGCGAGUAGGCUCCUUCAUUGGGGUUGAAAGCGCUUACGCAUCAACCAUAUGCAUACGGGACGUCGGUCAAAGUUACUGUGAACAAACCAGCGUGUCCAAAACAGGCUUUCGCCUGAAUGUUCGAGCAUGGAAUAACAAGGGAUCGAUUCUCUCGGUUCUUUUUGUUGGUUUUUAACCCGAGAAGGAGUAAUUCAGGCCACGGUGUCUGAGUUGGGUUCCCCUUCACCUCGGUGGAGGCCCCAAUUAGGCCGUGUCCUUACGGGAUCAAUAGGGACUGACGGGGUCGUACGUACUUCUACGUCAGAGGUGAAAUUCUUAGAUCGUAGGAAGACGAACUUCUGCGAAAGCAAUCGACAAGAAUGUCUUCAUUAAUCAAGAACGAGAGUGUGGGGAUCGAAGAUGAUCAGAUACCGUCGUAGUCCACUACUGUAAACAAUGCCGUCUCAGGAUUGAGAAGCGAACAGAAUGACUUUCACAGCACUAACCCCUGAAACGAGAAAUCAAAGAUUAUGGGUUCAGGGGGGAGUACAUUCGCAAGGCUGAAACUUAAAGGAAUUGACGGAAUGACACCACAAGGCGUGGAGUAUGCGGCUUAAUUUGACUCAACACGGGGAAUUUUACUAGGUCAGGACAAUGUAAGGAUUGACAGAUUGAGAGCUCUUUCUCGAUCCAUUGUGUGGUGGUGCAUGGCCGCUCCUGGUUGGUGGAGUGAUUUGUCUGGUUGAUUCCGUUAACGAACGAGAUCUCGACCCUUAAAUAGGUGCCCGUGUCGAAUGUAGUUUCGCCUCCGCGUACUUGUACGAUUGGAGCGGGACGAGACUGCGGGAAUACUUCUUAAGGGGACUGUGUGCGUCUCUAGCACGCGGAAGAGCGAGCCAAUAGCAGGUCUGUGAUGCUCCUAAAUGUCCUAGGCUGCACGCGGAGUACACUGAUGCAAUAAACGAGUCUGAGUGCCUUCUGGCAACCUACCUGGAAGCGGGUGGGAAAUCUUUUGAGCUUGCAUCGUGAUGAG
rnacentral:rRNA from 1 species